AUGCACCGAGCCGCGGGGUGCGCAGCGAUCCGGGGUACCGGGGACCCAGGGAACAGCGUAUUGGGGUGCGCCGGGUGGUGGGGGGCAAAGGAACCAGGAGCGCGUGGUGCAUCGAGGUGCACAGUGCAUCGGGGUGCACGGCAAACCGGGGUGCACAGGGGCUUGGGUAUGCCAUAUAGCGAGGUACAUGGGGGGCCGGGGUGCAUGGGGAGCAGUGUGCACGGUAUAUCGGGGUGCAGGGGGAUCCAGGGCGCAGGGGGACCCGUGUGGACACAGUGCUGGGGUGCAGGGGGAGCAGCGUGCAGGGUGUUUGGGGGUGCAGGGGGAUCCGGGGCACAGGGGGACCCGUGUGGACACAGUGCUGGGGCACAGGGGGAGCAGUGUGCAGGGUGUUUGGGGGUGCAGGGGGAUCCGGGGUGCACGGGGACCCGUGUGGACACAGUGCCGGGGCACCGGGGGAGCAGUGUGCAGGGUGUUUGGGGGUGCAGGGGGAUCCGGGGCGCACAAGGACCCGUGUGGACACGGUGCUGGGGUGCAUGGGGAGCAGUAUGCAGGGUGUUUGGGGGUGCAGGGGGAUCCGGGGCACACGGGGACCCGUGUGUACACGGUGCUGGGGUACAUGGGGAGCAGCGUGCAGGGUGUUUGGGGGUGCAGGGCGCACAGGGACCCCUGUGGACACCAUUUUGGGGUGCACGGGGAGCCCCAGUGUCCCAGCAGCUCACGCAGCCCUGCCGCCUCCAGCAGCAGCAGCAGCRAGGGCCGAGCCGCAGGGCGUUACCGCACGCACAGACCUUUCCCCGCUCGCGAGGACGAAACCCCCCGGACACACCAGACCAGCGGCUCCCGUCUUUUUCCAGCCGAUUCCUUUGGCAGGAGCCCAGCCGCCCGCGCAGGAACGACCCAAACGCCUCCUCGCUAAGACAAACCCAUUUAAUACAGGGACAAAACAAGCUAUUUUGUAACAGCCGCCUCCCCGGGGAGAUGCCAUCUCCCAGAACAUUCAUUUCUUUUAUACAUUUAUAUACAUUCGGCUCAUGCCAAAACAUCGCGACCCACCGGAGAUUAAAAAAAAAAAAACAACAAACCUGA
rnacentral:lncRNA from 1 species